UGGUUUCUCAAAAAUGGAGUCACAUCAGUUUCUCAAUAUCAGUCUUUAACAGUUUAGAUUCCUGAGAGAAAAGCCAGUUGAGCUCACUGUCCAGAUGGGUAAUUUCAAGACACAGAGGGGACAUGGGGGAGCCAGCAGUUUCUUUGAGCAGAAAGGACAGAGUUGGUGUCUAAGGAAACAUGGUAGCUAGAGGUCAUGGUGCAGAGAAUCUGAGAGAGAUGAGACAUGCAGAGGCUCACAGUCUGGGUCUGAAUGUGGUGAGCGCACAGUGGGAGGUGAGAGCAAGGUCCAGGUAAAUUCUGGCUUUACCCCUCUUCCCUUGCUUCCUAGACAUCCAAGUAUGGCUUUUGUUCAUGACCUAAGGCAGAAAAGCACACAGAGAAGUGUUCCCUGGAGGUUGGACAUGUGCUCUCUCUGUCACC
rnacentral:lncRNA from 1 species